GGAGCAUGAGAAUGGACUAAUACACACAUGAUCUUACUCAUAUGUGGAAUUUUUUUAAAAGUCAGUAUCAUAGAAGUAGAGAGUAGAACAGUGUUUACCAGAGAACGGGGAAGGAAGAGGGGAUGAGGAAGAUGGAGAGAGCUUAGUCAAGGACUCAAAGUUGCAAUUAGAUAGGAGGAAUACGUUCUGGUGUUCUCUUGCAUAGUAAGGUGACUAUGGUUAACAGUAAGGUAUUAUAUAAUCACAAAAUUGCUAGAAGAGAGGACUUUGAAUGUUCUCACCUCA
rnacentral:lncRNA from 1 species